GAUGAACGCUAGCUACAGGCUUAACACAUGCAAGUCGAGGGGCAUCAGGAAGAAAGCUUGCUUUCUUUGCUGGCGACCGGCGCACGGGUGAGUAACACGUAUCCAACCUGCCCUUUACUCGGGGAUAGCCUUUCGAAAGUAAGAUUAAUACCCGGCGGUCUCGGAUGGCCGCAUGACUAUCCGAGUGAAGAUUUAUCGGUAUGAGAUGGCGAUGCGUCCCAUUAGCUUGUUGGUGAGGUAACGGCUCACCAAGGCAUCGAUGGGUAGGGGUUCUGAGAGGAAGGUCCCCCACAUUGGAACUGAGACACGGUCCAA
rnacentral:rRNA from 1 species